UUGGUUACUAUAUAUAUACAUACCUACAUGUUGAAAUGUCGGGUGUACAUUAUAUCCGGGCGGUGUAACGCUAGAAUCUAAAAUAGCUGAAUCUGUGAAAGGUAGAACAUCUUAAGACAAACCCAGCAACUUGUUACCGGAUUAUUAACACCUUCAAAAAAGUAUCAGAUCGAUAGGAGCAAUACUAAAAGAGCUGUUUAUAUACUACACAAUUAAACGUUUCAACAUGGCGUGUGCGCCAUAUUAUUAUUAUGAUAAAUAUAUGAAUGAAUGUUCACACUGUGGUACUAUAUGUGAUGAUGCUGAAAAACGUGGAAAUCUGGCAGACUGCAAGUCUCGUUGUCCAGAUUACCUAGAAAGCCUUCAACUUAGUAUAGCAGAAUAUCAAAAGACAGGCAACUCAAAUACAGAAUCUCAAACAAUUGUGAUACUGUUAGUAACAUUAUGUCUUGUAUUGGUACUAGCUCUGACAUUGGGGUUUUACCAUAGAAAAAAGAUUAGUCGAUGCAGGAAUAGGCACGUAGUUCCAAAUCCCAGAACUACGAUCAAUGAAGUAGGAGAAUUUAACGAUUCUAAAAAUCCUGCUGAUGAAAUGGCAAUGUCUGAUUUACAUAUUGGUACCACUCGUUUAAUUGAUACAGAAUCUGGUGGCUUGCUUACUUCCAAACUUUAAACCACAGCUGAGGAAUUAGAUUUGUGAAUGCAAAUACUUCAAAAGAGAACAGAUAAUCGUGUCGCUACUCUCUGUAAGUUUUGUACUAUAUCCAAGAUGACUUUUUUUUAAAGAUACAUUAUGGGAGAUUCGAUAACGAGUUGGCAGUUCUCACUAUAAUAGUUAAAAACUAGAUAAUGUAAAGGCAAUUUGCUGAACAUUUCAUUCAAAUUGAUCCACUAUGAACCGAGAACAAAGCAAUUGGAUUUCCGCCUAGUCUUGAUCAUCAUUACUAAAGUCAGUACGAUAAACAGAAUAGUCUCGAUUAUCCAUUUAAUCGUUAAAUCGUAAAGGACAGUCAUACAAUCCACUAAAGAUCGCAGGUUAGCGAUACAAUCUAGAGUUGAUUAUGGUCUGGAUAGGUUAAUUAAUGUCUAAUUAAUAAUUUAGAUAACAUUUCAGGCCUAAAGAAAGACCUGCAAUAGACACAUUUAGCUCUUACAUAAUGUUGGCUUAAGUGAAAGUAAAUAUUUUUGCUUUAAUAAUUUGUAACCGUGUGUAAUUCAUGAUUACAAUUAUAAACAGUGUAUUUAUAUUUCUGCAAAUAAUUUCUUACGGGUAAUGAAUCUAUAUAAGCUCCAGCUUGUUUUCAGAUCUCAUAAUUAAAUAUUGUGUCUUAUAUGUAAAUAUUGAUUGAAUAAAUAUUGUUAGAAAAAAAUACUUCCUUUCUGUUCGAGUCUCUAGGUAUGAAACGUCCGCCCUUUUCUCUCCGUAUACAUUAUAAUACACCACUCAUUGUUAUAACUCUAUGCUUUAUAACGAUGCUUAUUAUAACGAAUAAUACAUAGCAUAUCAACAUAUUUGUAUUUUUGCAUCUGACUAUAUUUCUAUGAUGAAUAAUCAUUUUUCUGUGAAUAUAUAUUUUUUUAUCUUGGCAGCUUUCAUGUUAAUGUAUGAGCUAAAAUUGUAUAAUGAAGUUAUUCCUUUUUACGGAGUCAAAAAUGGGAAAUAAUAGAAUUCAUACUGUUUAAUCAUCUGCAUUUUUUAGGACAAAAUCGUUGUUUGUUGUGGUUAAUUACAAUUUUAUAACGUCCAAUUGCUGUUGUGUUGUUGUUUAUUACAAUUUUAACGUCCAAUAUCGUUGUUGUGUUGUUGCUUAUUACAAUUCUUUUAUGAUUCCACAAUACAAAAAUGUAUUUAUUUUAUAAUAUAUGUAUCAUGUAUUUUUGUAAGGACAGAUCCUUACAUUUGUAUGUCGAAUGCAAUAAUAUUUUUA